UUUCAGCAUGCCAGAAAUCCCAGCGCAGAGGGACAGCGAUCAAUAGGCGUUGGGAUGAGGAAAUAUGGGUUCCACAAGUAGGAGACUCCUGAAUUUGUUUACAUGUUAUGGGGUCCACAUCUGUGUUACAUCUUGUAUCUUAUGACACUCUUCUUCCCACAUCAACCACAGCUUAGAGAUCCUUAACCUUUCCAUUGGAACGAGUGCGUUUGAGCUGAAUGAGCAUGAAGGAAAAGGGAUUGCUAUUUCAAAUGUGUCUGCUCUAUUCAAAGGGACCAUCAACGAUGAAUAUGUCAGCUGGCUUCAGUGGAUUUUGAAGUUGAGUCACUGAUUGACCUGGUCAUCAAUCCAAAACUAUAAAAAAAGAUCUGUUUGUUUGUUAGACUGUGGAAAGGGCAAAGUGGCUGCAGACACAUCAGACUUUACCUCAGCUGCUCCUGCUCCUGAGUGUGAGUUUCACAUUUCAUAUUACUAAGAUACACUAGAAGUGAUCAUGAUGCUUCAAUCAACCUUUUUACAAAGCAGAUUUUGAUUUUUAUCUAGUUCAAAGUCAAUUGUCAUUUUCUCUGAGUAAAUAAAAUUUAAGACAGACAUCACAUUGUAUGAUAUAGCAGAGUAUCAAAAAGAGUAUCAUUUUACUCUUGGAAUGGUUACAUUGUUGUUUUAUUUCUUUAAUUGUGCAUGUGCAGGUGUAUGCGAUAGUCCAGCUGGACCACCUGCUCGUGGAAUUCCCUCAAAAAAGACGCUGAAUUGGCAAUCUUGUUCUUUUUAAUUUGGUCUUUCUCACACAAACACACUUACAGACACAUGCACACAUCACAUAAACCAAAAAUAUGAAUG